UUCUGUGUAAACUGAUGUUCAAAAAUAAACUUAAAAAUAAAUAUUGUCCGGAGUAAAAGUGUGACUGCUAACUCUGGUCUCUCCUAUAGGACAUUUUAUUACCUUGCAUAAUUUUUGCAAUAAAAAAAUAUAUUUUUGUUUUCACGAAAUUGUCAUAAAAUGAGUGAAAAUAUAAAUGCAGAGAAUACUGAAUGCAAGCAGUAAAAAAACUAAGAAAAUAUGCUAAAUGUUUCAUUUGCAGUGACAUUUGAACCAUAAGUGAACUAAUAAAAUACUCUAAUGUUACUAUUUCUGCAUGCAGCCAUGUCUCAGUCUUCUGAACAACAUGCAAUAAGAUACGGCCCGGAUCUAGUUUCUAAACUUAAACCCUAAUUUCAUUUUUCGAAUUUGAUUUAUAUCCAUGAACUCGUCCUCGUUUCUGAAGGCACGGAAAGAAAAAAAACCCUCCAAGAACAUGAAAGAUAAUCUUUCACUUACAAACUGUUUUGGUUCCCAUUGGGUGCUGAAACUGUGUGGAUAUCACAUUCUUCAAAAUAUCUUCUUGUGUUCUUCAAAUGAAAGAAAGUCAUCCAGGUGUGGAACAACAUGAAGAUAAGGAAAACACCCCUGCUGAUUUCUGAUGGUGUUGUCAUACUGGCUCUGAUUCACAGUGUAAUGCCGAAGCAACCUUGUCCAGGUGUUUCAGCUCUUCUGACCUCUAAGACAUGGUGAGAGCUCUGCUGAAGACGGAUUCAUUUUCCUCGCCACAUGCGCUGCCUCAGAGACACUGGGCUGACUGCUGCCCUAUCAGCGCUGCUUAAAAGAUUAAAAACAAACAGCAUGACAGAAAUAUAUCAUGUGCUGUUGAACCAGUCCGACUGAGAAUAUAUGGAUGGACAUGAAACAGGCGGUCCACUCGAUUCAAUAGAGUUUCAAGAUUGGGGAAGGAAUUGCUGCAGCUAUAUGGAAAAGUUGAAGAGAUAUUUUACACAGACUCAAGGCUGUAAGUGACUUGAAGUGUGAGAAUUUGUUUGGAUUUAGAACCGAUUCUGUAGUGCUGUAAGACAAGUUUUUUUCUUCUUCAAAACAAAAAAUAUCGUUAUUAAAAAAUGAUAGCAAAUAUUACAGAGAUACUGGUUGCUUCACAUUCAACAACCAUUUUUAAUUUAUGUUGUCAUUAACACACACACACACAGCAUAAAUGGACACUAUACUAUACUGAGGAUUAUUCUUCCUCCAUAAAAAUUGUAUUCAUAUUAAAAUCUGUUUCAUGAGUAAAGACAAAGAACAAACAGAUUUUCUGUAAAACCACCACAGAUGCUCGACCCUCAAAAACAAGUUUGCAUUCCAUGUAAGUAUUAAAUUCAUUGCUUUAAAACAAAUUAAAGAUACCAUAAUAAGACAAAAAGAGCUUUAAAAAAAAUGGUUUUCAGUUUUAAAUAUCUUAUCAACCUUAUAUUUCAACGUGGAACCCAUUUUCUCACUUCUGGUUUAUUAGCCACUGUGGGGAAAACGCGAAAAAUAAUAACAAUUGGUUUGCACAACAAACCAAUGUGUUCAUAAUAAAGAUAAUACAUUAAAAUAACAUGGUAAGAUACAACAGCUGUACAGUGAAAAAUAGCUGCAAGUGGAAGAGACCGGAAGUUUGGCAUGUAAAAUGUACAAAUGGCUCUUACAGGAAAAAUAAUGUGGAUAGAAACCUUUGGUGAGUGGUUUUAUAAAAGUACAGCUAUACUCAGUUAUUUGAUUUUGAUUAAACUAUUUACUUGCAUAAAUCUUAAGUACUGGUACAAUUUCAUAUAAAAAUAAAACUUAACUCAUGAAAUAGAAUAUAAUAACAGCUUCAAAUCUAGUAUCUUAAAGAAAAAACACUUUACAAAAUAAAAGGCUUGCUUUUUUUCGAAACCCAUUUCAAAAGGCUUCGAACUGAAUUGUACAUAUUAAACAAAAUAAUUCAAUAAAGACACCCAAACACAAAUUAAAGAUAACAUCAAAUGUUCAUAUUCUUUUAUUCUUUUUUCUCCAUCAUCAUAAUUCAUAAUUCAUACGUCAUACUUCAUUUAAAAUGGUACAAAAUUUAACAAGAAUCAAUGCACAGCUACACUAAGGGCUGAAAAACUGAAUGAAUAAUAGACAGCAUCUGCAGUAACUACAAUCAUCUAUUUACAGUGCUUCACUCUGAGAUCAGCUCUCUGUUUGGGACAUUCCUUCGGCCAUGCUUGUAAAUCUGCUUCAAAUGAAACACAAACUGGCACACUGCAAGAUUUUAGUCUACCUCAGAUCGAGCUUCAAGAACCAUAUUGUAUCGUAUUGAAAGGAACAGAGGAAAAUACUAUUAUUAAAAGGCUAAUAGAAAGCUCAACAGGCCAACCUGAUUUUAGAGCUGCACAAAGCAAUCUUUGUGAAAGCACAUCCCUCACACACACACACACACACACGAGGAAAAGUUGCUUCCUGUCAAACCUAAGAAACUGUAGUGAUAGUUGUUUGGCACCUGAGAUAAAGCUGUAAAAAGUGCUUGUGGUGAGAAAAAAAAAA